UACAAAGACUCUCAACCCUCUCUCUCGAAUAGCCUCCCCGAAACGCCUCUCUUUCUCUCUCAUGAAACCUCGAUCUCUCUCGUGAAUCUUUUAGUCCUCCGCGAAAGCUCUCUGUCUCGUGAAACCUCUCUUGGCCCUCUCUCCCCAGUUGUGUGGAAUUUCAACCCUUUAAAUCCCUAAAUCCUCCACCUUUACAGGGAGCUGACUACGAUGGUCUCGGUUCUCAAGCCGUCCAAUGGGGUGAGAUGGGAAGACGAUGGCAAUGAGCAAUAGCGGCAGCGGCGUUUCGAUGGCGUUUCUGGAUAGGCAGAGGGCUCGCUUCAACAGUGUUUUGAGAGCUCUCUCUACUGGAAAUUGGGGUUCGAAUUUGUGCUGGCUCUUCACUUCUCCAAACCUGCCUUCAACUCCGUCUACCUAAUGGAUAAUUGAAGCUCCGCUUUGCGUUACCCUCCUCUCUCUCUCUCUCUCUCUCUCUCUCUCUCUAUGUCUAAAGAUCUAAAUCAAUUCAAGGCUUCUCAAUCUGAUCUAAAUCAAUUAGGGACGUUGCCUCUCCUCCGAGAUUCGAUCCCUCACCGCCGAUUUGCUCUCCAACUCUCCGGCCACUAGCAGUAAUUAUUCCUCAUUUCAAGUCUCUGUUCAGUUGGUUCCCUUGAUGCUUGACAGCGAGAGCUCCCAUUCAAUCAUUUUUGGGGCAGUCGUGGGCUUCAAAGAUUAAGAAAUUAGAGUUCAAUUUUCAGAGAGCUCUCAGAUUACCCAGUUCUUGGUUAUCAGUAGAAGAGAUUGUUUUUUAUAGCAAUCAUGUGUUCGAGCAGUGGAAUGAGAACCAACCUGUGCCAAGGUCUUGAUGUGUUCAGAAGCACCACUAUCAACAGGUCACUUUGAUGUCAUCUGUACGUUGCUUAUUUUGGUUAUUGUCAUUGUAUUUCGAUAGCAAGUGUUUGCAUAAUGUGAUAGUAUUUACAAGCUUUAGAGAAAACGGUUCAAUAUGGUUUCCGGUGUAAGUAGUGUUCAAAUGAAGGUCCUUGCGUUUAAAGUAGAGUAUUGUAUAUGUCUUCCUUGUUUCUGGUGAAAAUUCCACCUAGUCCAGGAUGUACUACUAAGAAUACAACUGAAUUGUUGAAGUUUCUCCUCUGCACAUAUAAAUUUAGAGUCUUAAUUUCCUUUAUUUACCAUUUACUUUUAGUUUAAUUUGGAGUGUGAUCCUUGCCAAUUAAAGGGUAUCAGCCACCCCAAUGAACCCAGAGCCAAGAAGAAGUGGAUGAGGCAAGAGGAUGCCAAGAACUCUGGGAAGAGGACACUCGAAGUAGCCGGUUGAAAUUGUCAAUAUUCCUGCUGCUAAUGUAGCCUCAAUUUGGUUUUAGUGUUGCAAAGAACGUCAAGUGCAGACAAUCUUGAGGAUCAAUGAUAUCUUUUGCUAUACUAGAUGAAUCACUAGUACAUUCAAACAAUUGAUACCUUGGACAAAAGAAGAGGUCAGAACGUACUCUUAUCUUGGUGUGGUAUGAACUAAAUGGUGGAAUGUUGCGUAAAGAGUCUUUGGGAGAUCGAGCGUGGAGUACAAAGCAAUGCAGCAAGCUAUAUUUUCUUUCAUCAUGUAAAACUUAACCAGGAAACUUAAAUGCUUUUUAGUCUAUGAGAUGUAUGAAUGCUUUAGCAAUGUUCCUUAAAUUCAAUAUUUUAUGAAUUGAUGUAUCACAAUGAUUUUGGUACAAAUGUUGAUCAUUUGAUGGUUUGCAUUCAAUUUGUAU